rnacentral:rRNA from 1 species
GACGAACGCUGGCGGCGUGCCUAACACAUGCAAGUCGAGGGGCAUCACGGAUUGCUUGCAAUCUGGUGGCGACCGGCGCACGGGUGCGUAACGCGUAUACAACCUACCUUUUGGAGGGGAAUAGCCCAGAGAAAUUUGGAUUAAUACCCCAUAGUAUAUAGGAAUCUCCUGAUUUUUAUAUUAAACAUUUAUGGCCAUUAGAUGGGUAUGCGUCCUAUUAGUUAGUUGGUAAGGUAACGGCUUACCAAGGCAGCGAUAGGUAGGGGUCCUGAGAGGGAGAUCCCCACACUGGUACUGAGACACGGACCAGACUCCUACGGGAGGCAGCAGUGAGGAAUAUUGGACAAUGGGCGAGAGCCUGAUCCAGCCAUGCCGCGUGCAGGAAGACUGCCCUAUGGGUUGUAAACUGCUUUUACAGAGGAAGAACCACCCCCACGUGUGGGGGUUUGACGGUACUCUGCGAAUAAGGAUCGGCUAACUCCGUG